AAUAAUAAUAAUAAAAAUUAAAUAAAUAAAAUUAAAUAAAUAAAUAAAUAACUA
rnacentral:rRNA from 1 species